UACGUAGGGGGCAAGCGUUGUCCGGAUUUAUUGGGCGUAAAGAGCGUGUAGGCGGCCUUACAGGUCAGCUGUGAAAACUCGAGGCUCAACCUCGAGACGUCGGUUGAAACCGUAAGGCUAGAGUCCGGAAGAGGAGAGUGGAAUUCCCGGUGUAGCGGUGAAAUGCGCAGAGAUCGGGAGGAACAUCUGUGGCGAAGGCGGCCACCUGGACCAACACUGACACUGAGGCACGAAAGCGUGGGGAGCAAACAGG
rnacentral:rRNA from 1 species